rnacentral:rRNA from 1 species
UACAGAGGUGGCAAGCGUUGUUCGGAAUUACUGGGCGUAAAGGGCGCGUAGGCGGCCUUCUCAGUCGGACGUGAAAUCACCAGGCUUAACUUGGGAACUGCGUCCGAUACUGGAAGGCUUGAGUGCGGGAGAGGGAUGUGGAAUUCCAGGUGUAGCGGUGAAAUGCGUAGAUAUCUGGAGGAACACCGGUGGCGAAGGCGGCAUCCUGGACCGACACUGACGCUGAGGCGCGAAAGCCAGGGGAGCAAACGGG